UGCUGGGAGUGGGGCGUGGUGGCGCUGCGAGAUGAAACCCCCGGUGUUGCCUCCAGGAGACACCAUGUUCCCUUGCCAGACAAGUGCAAACAGAACAGUUUGCCUCCCCAAACCUGCAGAUUAUUAUUAUUUUUUCUCUACUCUACUUCUUGCCAUGUGAUCCUACUCUCAGCCCUUUGGUGUUUACCAGGUAUUGUCCUACCUGGCAGCUCUCUUAGCUCUCUCUUCAGAAUUCAAUCAACUUCCUGUAGAUGAACUUUCCAGCAAAAGCUGUUCCUACCCAGUUUGCAAGGCCCAGUCAGCUUGUACUCUCAGAGGGCCAGCACUCCACUCUGAUGGAAAUCUGCCUGUGAUGCCAGCCUGGGGAGUGCCCUUCACACGUGAUCUCAUCUAAGCCUGGCUUGACAGUAAGAAGAGGAGGAAGAGGAGGAAGCUUAGGAAUCCUCUCUGAAGGGGACAUGGUUCUUGGAGGCCUGAUUUGUAUUGGGGAGAAUCCUGAAACCAAUCACUGAGGGAGCACUACCCUUUAUGAUGGGGAUGGAAAAGCCACAGCAACCCUAUGGCCUCUAGUUUUGGAGAGGGACUCAGCUAAAGACCAAAGGAAGCACCAGAAAGAAGAACUGAAGAGUUUAAUUUGGUUAAACAUAAAUAAAAAUAAAAACAUCUCUAGAAUAUAGAAACUAUCUCUAGAAGUCCGGGUGUUGUGGCUCACACCUGUAAUCCCAGCAUUUUGGGAGGCUAAGGCAGGUGGAUGACCUGAGCUCAGGAAUUUGAGACCAGCCUGGGCAAUAUGGCAAAACUUCGUCUCUGCCAAAAAUACAAAAAAUUAGCCGGGUGUGGUGGUAUGCACCUGUUGUCACAGCUACUCGAGAGGCUGAAGUGGGAGAACUGCUUGAGCCUGGGAGGCAGAGGUUGUAGUGAGCCAAGAUUGCACCACUGCACUCCAACCUGGGUGAAAAAAAUAAAAGAAAAACUAUCUCUAGGGGUGGAGCUCUGGGGAAUGUUUUCUCUGUUCAAAUGUUCUACCAAGCAGAUGUAUUACAGUGGAUGUGAUUGCCUUUAAUUUGCUUGAUUUGCUGGACAUCGUUCAAAGGUCAUCCCCAGGUAUCAGUGGAUGGAUAGGAAGGAGAGUGUGUGCACUGAGGGUGUGGCUGUGGGCCCUGCAGGGGAGGCACCACAGGGAGGGGCUGGCACUCCUAUGGGCUCAGACGCUCAGGUGAGUUGCCCAUUACAUAAGGUGCAUUGCUAGGGCAUUAGCUCAGCCAGGAAGGAACCACUCUGGACUUGUG
rnacentral:lncRNA from 10 species